rnacentral:lncRNA from 1 species
UUGAUUUUUAAAGGAUAUUUAUAUUGGUUGUGGUUUCCUUGGUGUCGGGAUCUAUCUUGUUAUUCUUAUGGUGGAUUGGUUUUUUCUUGCUAUCUCCGCUUGGUAUUUUUGUAGUUGGCGGGUGUCUUCAUCUUUUUUUUGGCUUUCGCCAUAGUGUUUUUUUUCCUAAUUGUUCUUUUGUUUUCCAUUUAUAUUUAUUUCUUAUGGUUAAUUGGCUACACAUUAUACCUACCUUGACCUUUUGUAUUUUAACCUUGGAUCUAUU